rfam:Pristionchus pacificus strain PS312 contig1457, whole genome shotgun sequence.
UCUCCAUUUCACACACUCUCUCAACGGUCAGAGAGCGGCGAGAGAGUGUGUGAAAUGAAGAGA